ensembl:tRNA
CAUGGUCUAGUGGUAUGAUUCUCGCUUUGGGUGCGAGAUGUCCCGGGUUCAAUCCCCGGUUCGG